rnacentral:lncRNA from 1 species
GUUGUUCCAGUGAUAGUAACGUGAUCUGUGUUUUCUGGAAGUUGUAAUAUGUUCUUGUUCCAGUGAUAGUAACGUGAUCUGUGUUUUCUGGAAGUUGUAAUAUGUUCAGCUUGUGAUGAUGUUAGACAAUCAGUUGAGGGUUUCAGCUAUUGGAAGUGACUUCAGUUAUUGUUCUAAAUAACCAAAACAUAUUUACUUAUCUCUUACAUACCCCAUAGAGUGAUUUUAUAUGAAUGUAUAGCUAAAAUUCAUCCAUAAAAUAAUUUAAUGUUCCUUGUUUUGAUGUUGGUAUAUGUUCUUUCCUUUAGUUUAAUUUAUCCAGUGCUUUCAUUGUGGAGUGGCUGAUUUAUUUAUUUAAAAAAAUAUAUAUAUACUUUUUUAUGUAUUAUAUUUUAAUAUUUGUAAUAAUAUUUUAAUUUAAAAGUUUAAAAGAAAGCACUUUUUUUUCUUUUUGAAAAAUAUAGCUUUUGUUGACUAAAACCAUCAUGAAAAUUACAGACAUGAAAAUACAACAGAUGUAUUUAAGACAUGAUAAAGAAACCAUUUAAGGUGAGCAAAUUAAUUGAAAAACCUGUUGAGCACUUGUUAAGCAUUUAAACUUACUUUUUAAAGAAAAUAUUUGACUUAGUUACAAUAAGUUGUAAUCUGUUAAAUGCUUCUUUGCAUUUUUAAAAAAAAGAGAUGUGGCACAAAAAUAUUUAAAUAUUCUUUAUUUUAUAGUAUUUAAAACCAUAGCUAUAGAGAAAUGCAGAGAAGCCUCUGCCUGUCUGAUGAACUCCCAACCUGAGGUAAGAAGAUAAAAAUAAACACUGAGAAAGGCUAAUCAGAAAUGAUUUUUCAGCUUUGUAUAUGUUUAUUUGAUGUGGCUAUGUCAGAUCAAAUCAAAUCAACUCACAUAUUUCUCAAAUUACCGUACACAAGUUUAAUAAGUUAAGUUCAUGGGUGCUUGCACCGCAACAAUUUUCUUUGCUUUUUUUUUUGCCUACAACACAAACACAUGCCACCAAACAAAUUCUCACACACUAGAUGAAGGCUAUUAGUGUUCUUGGGGUGAGCCCUGAGCCUGGGAUGGUAGUUUGUGACUCAUUCUCUCUGUACAUUGUAGCUGGCUCCUAAUUUAUCCCUUCAGACUCUCCCCCAAACCAGCAUCCUGUCCCCUCUGUGACCCUUUUUCUUCCUCCCUUCUCUCUUCCUUUCUCUCUUGAGUUCUUCUGUAAGUCACUCGGGAGAUACGCUGAUGCUAUUUGACAGGGAACAGAAUGUGUUCAGGACUUUAUGUCUGUCCUUUUUUUAGUAGACACAUUGGACAAGCUACUUUUAUGAGCUGGUUGUGUUGAAUCAUGAUAUUGUGCCAUGGCAGAAUUUGCUAGUCGAGGGCUUUUACAGGUCUCAUAUAAUGCUGUAUGACUGAACAAAACAGAGCGGUCAUAUAUUAGUUCUAAAUGUUCUCACGCACACAUUUCAUUAUCCAUCAGGGAGAAGAAACGCAGCCUGGGAUUUUGAGUGUUUUGUUCCGGACGUAAAUAUCCUGUAUAUUCGCAGCCCCUCUUGCGG